rnacentral:lncRNA from 1 species
AUCGAGGAGGUAGAGCCACACGCUUACCUUAGGGAAACACCUUGCACGUUAUAACUGGACAGGUAAAUGUUUGGUGAAAGAGGAUAAAGGAAAUAGAGCCGGUGGCGUGCGAGGAUAUUCAGGAAAACGUCCGGGGCACUGAACUCCCACCACCACUUAGGGAGGCUUUUCCUGUGGAGCCUCGCCCUCCGGUCGGAAGUCGCCUCAACCUGCCUGCCCGGAAGCCGUCGCCUUAGCAACACAGCGUUGUCCCGUCCUCUUCCCUUAGCCACGCCCAUUGUACUUAGAAUUCUAGAGCCAGCCAGACAUCGAUUGGUUCACUUAUCCUUCACUCCGCGAGACAGGCGAGACUGCAGGGCUCUGGAGCGCGUUUUUGAAUUUGUAGCGCGUAUAGAGUCCGUGAGGUACCUUGUGGAGUUCGUGCUGUGGCUGGAGCCAGCUACUCAGGGUGAACUCUGAAGUCCUGAGCUAUGGCAGAACUCAAGCCCCUCAAGUCACAUAGAAAUCUACCCAUCAAACACUGGAUUGCCAUUAACUAAAUAACAAGUUCAGAAGUACUGGACAACAAAGAGAGAUCGUACCCCAUAUCCUGGAGAAAGGACUGCUGCACAGAGAAGCCAAAAAGAACAGACAGCCUCAGUGGAUUAGCAACCAUGUCUAUGCAGCGGUGUCUCCACAAAAACCCUAAAAGCGCCUGCCCCUGGCUCAGCGCCCGGUGCCAACAGAACACCUUUCAGGAUUCACAGCAGCGCAGACAACUCCAGGAUCCCGGCCUCUGAUUGGAACAGAACAGUGUCAUGGCGGAGACGACGGCCUUUGUCUUGCUGGAUGUGAAAACAUCCGCUGUGCUGGCUCCACUGCGGCAGAAUCAAGUUUAAAGGAAAAAAAGUGAUUAAAGUCAGCUUUGUGCCUCUUUGGUGUGGAAGACCCACAGACCUCAAGUAGCCGACUCCCAGGUCCGAGGAAGGGCUCAUAGUUGGAGCAGCCUAGGCUGUAAUCCUGGCACUGGCGCCUUCGGUUGCUGCUUGCUGUUCGCUCCUGGGGGUCUGGAUAAUCUCCCUUGGCUUUACCGCACUGUCUGGCCCGCAUACAGGGCCCCGUAACAUAUACCCGCUCCUGCUAUCACACGAAACUGUGGCGUUGCCCCUGAAUGGAUGGCACCGUGCCAACUCUUCUGCCAUCCGCCCUUGCAGCUUUUUUCUUUCCUCCCUCCCUCCCCUUCUUCUCCUCCUCCCGUCGACUUGACGUUAAUUAACACACGGGUUAAUUGAUUUUAAAAGCCGAAGAAUUACAGUUAACUUUUCCCACAGGGUACAGACGCCAGCCGCUUGGCACACUCUGCCUUUCGCACUAGUUAGUGCAGGGGGGCAGGGAAAGCCCACAGCAAAACUAGCAACUGCUGAAGGAACGUUGCUUGCUUAUUGGAGUAGAGCCGACAGAAGUCGACGUGGCACUGCCUCAUCCUUUGCAAUAUAUGUAGCCAUUAUAUAUUUUGCUAAAUAAUCAAAACAGAACCCUAGCUUUCUUCUCCCUUCCUCUUUCAAAAUGGGAAAACCUUUCUGAAGUUCACUUAGAGGGGGAAAAACCCUCCCAGGACCAUUUAUCUCAUCUAUAAUAUGCUUUUUUUCCCC